AGUGCAUAGGUCCUCACCAGGGAUCAGAACUGGUGAUCCCUGGGCUGCUGAAGCAGAGCACACAAACCCAACCACUAUGCCAUUGGGCGAUCCUAGAAACACGAUGAUGUUUUGUUUAGCAUUUGUUUGUUUAUGUUAUCCUGCAUUAAACAUAUCCUGGUGAUCUAAAUCCAUUUUUUUCCCUCCAUGUAAUUUUUAGUUCCAUUAUGAUAUGGUUAUCCAAAAUACUGAAACUUACCGGGAAGUGAGAGACAAAAUUCAAGAUGGCCACAGUCAGGAUUAGGAUCUUCAUCUUGUCCUACUUAUUCCCUGCAACUGAGGUUCAGCUCCAGGAUCUGAGUGACGUAAGAGGAGCAAGAUAGGCAAAAUUGACCUAUACGUUACAUAAUCAAAGAAUUAUGAAGAAAUAAUUUUUUUGAGAGAUUCUUGGCUUUGAAUUGUGGGUGGUGAUCCAGGACAGCUGGCGGUGUAAUUCCAAUCCAAGUCUGAAGGCUAAGAACCCAGUAGCUAAUGGUGUGAAUCCUGGUCCAAAGGCAGCAGAAAAUUGAUGUCUCAACUCAAGCAGGCAGGAUGGCAAUCUCUCUAGCGUUUGACAAGGAGUCCUUCCCUCUUUGCUUGGCUUUUGUGAAACCACCUUAUCCUGGAUCUCUUCAUACCUCUCUGAAGUUCUUUUUUAGUUAUCACCAUUCAACUCUGCAUUAUCACCAAGAUCAACCUCAAAAUGAUGGCAUUUUCAAGAACUGAUCAAACAUGAUUCCCCCCAAUAAUUUACAGUUUAAGCAAGUAAAUGUUUGUUGAAUGAAUAAAUGUCAGAGUUCAAACAUGUAUACUUUUACUCUCAAUAUGGUACUUUUUCUGAAAUACUGAAACACCAUAUUUCAGUUAUAGAUUUUUGGAAUUAUUUGGGUUCUUAAUUCAACAAUAUUGAAGUAAAGUUGAAUUUAUUGAUAGUAAAGUAAAAUUUACUUUAAAUUUUAAUAAAUAAAAAAAUCCAU